UCUCUCUCUCUCUCUCUCUCUCUCUCUCUCUCUCUCUCUCUCUCUCUCUCUCUCUCUCAAGGCAAGCUCGGAAAUAUCGUGACGCUGAACCGCGCGCUGCAUUUUGAAUCGAGAGAAAUCAAGUCCGAGACUCACCUGCGGCAAACGACCACAUACACACACACACACACACACACACAGAAGCACACACACGAGUACCCAGCGGGAAAGUGAAACGAGAAACAAACUUGAGCGGCAAAAAAAAAAAAAAGAGACGAUGAUGAAAGGGACGGUGCUCCAAAAUUUUUAACACGGUGCAGGAGCCCAAAGUCAGUCAGCCAGUCAGUGAGUCAGUCCGCCAUUAGUUUCAGGGCAGACCAGGCAGAGCAGCGUCCCCUGAGUGAUCCUGAAAUGGUCCCUUAAAAGCCUCAGCCUCCCUCUCACCUGCCCCCCUGAAACUUAAUUCCAAGGAGUAUUCUGUUGGCACCACUGCAUUGGGAUCUGCUGUAGGGGAGGCACUGCUGGCGGCACUCCUAGCGGCACUGCUGGCACCACUGGCGACCACCCCGACCAUUAGUGUGGCGCUGACGGAGUUGAACUAACUUUGCACGAGGCGACGGCCGAGGAAUAUUAAUGAAGCUCCCCGCGUAAAUUAAAGUAUUUCUAAGCAGCAAGGAAUACACGUUAACACCUGAUGAAUAUUGAUGAGGUUCUUAUCAUCUCGAGUAUUUUCUGAGGAGCAAAGUAUCUGAUAUUAGUCUCGUUGGAGGCUUAGGGUGAUAUUAAUGAUGCUUUCAUGAUUUUGAUGUAAUUUCUAAGUAACGGGUAUCAGCUGUCAGCCUUGCUCGGGGUUCGAGGUAAAUUAUAUUAAUGACACUCCUAUGAAUAAAAAUAUUUCUAUGUAACGAAGACUAGAUGUUUAUUUUUAACAAGACUUAGGGCGAGAAAUAUGAAUGAAACUCCUAUAAUUAAGUAUUCCUACCCAACAACGAUUAAAUGUUAACUUAGUUGAAAGGUUUAUGGCAAGUAGCUAAUGUUGAUGAACUGCAAUUUGAAGUACGUAAAUAAAACGAUGCUCAGCCAUUUACUUUGCACAAGACUUAUAGCCAGAAAUAUUUACGAAACUCCUAUAAAUAACUAUUCCCAUCCAACAACAAUUAAACAUCAAGUCAGUAGAAAGGCUAUAGUAAAAUUAACGAGUCUCUGCAAUUCAAGUCUAUCUAAACAAGGGACGGAUAUUAUCACUAGGAAGGGAUGGCGGGCGUCCCUCUGAGCUCAGGGUGGCACAGGGGCAGCCUCCCGCAGAGCCUUACCGUGUGAGGGUGUGCUGGGCCUCGCGGUGGUGGUGGUGGAGGUGGUGGUGGUGGUAACACUGCUGAGUGAAGAGUAGCACAGACUUAACUAUUUAUUUUGACUUUUACGUUGGUGAUGAACAACAAUAGGAAGUGGAUUGGGUCUCUCUCUGUCUCUCUCUCUCUCUCUCUCUCUCUCUCUCUCUCUCUCUCUGUCUCUCUCUCUCUCUCUCUCUCUCUCUCUCUCUUCGUCUUUUUUUUCUUUUUUCAGCUACUAAUUUCACGCCUCCGUGGUGCACCUGGCUAGGAAUCCCCUGGACCCAGUUCGAAUCCAGGCUGGGUCAGUCGGCGCACAGCUGAUGGCCCCCACCUGUUCGCCCUUCCUUCAGUUUGGUCGAUGAAUGGAUACCUAAGCAAACUCGGGGAAGGUGAACUGCGGGAACCCUGACAGAGAUGAAGUUAUAUUUGUAUGAAAUGUAUAUUGCAAAACCAAGAUGAAAUGAUGUACUCGUACAUCUUUUUGUUGUGUUAAAGUGGCCCUGCGUCCCGGGGCGAGGGGCACCACAAACCACAGGGUCAGGGCCAGUGAGGCAGAGACGGAGAGGAGCGCUGGGGCCACGUGCAAUUGUAGCGGGAAGCAGAUUUCAAGACACUAUAAUCCUCUAAUUUUGAAUGAUCCUUUUGGCCUUUCUUUUGAGAACGGUCUCUCUUUUUUUUUAUUCUUUUCGUUGCCCUUGCCUAAUACAAUACAUAAUAAAAAAAAGGCCUCUAA